UGUGGCUUCUGAUAAGUCUGAAAGUCUUCAGGCCUCAGAGCUGGGAGUCAGGAAUACACCAUUUUACCCUUAAAAGCCUUUGGCAGCAGGUCCAGCAGAAGCUGGACUGCUGAGGCUCUCCUGCUUCCUGGGGUGACAGAGGGAACACCCGCAUUGUGAUGUAAAGGAAGCUGAGUGGAGCACUGGAAUCAUUAGCCUUAGCCAAGGUUAAGGGGUAAAGCCUUCCAAGAGGUUCUCCAGAGCAUGUUUGCAGAUAUACAAGUAUAUACCACAAAUGGUAAAAAAUAGAGGAGAACCUCAAGUAAAACAAAGCUAAUGGAAAAUAGCCUGACUGUCUCUAUGCGAAAAGGAGAAAACAAAAUGGGGAAAUAGAAUAGCAUCACUGAGCAUAAGUGGUUUUGGACAAUAUACACUGAGCAUUCAUGUGCCAUUUGGAGAGAUGCCAGUUUUAGAGAAGAACUGGCAAGGCUAUGGCAGAGCCAGAAGCUUUAUCCACGAGGCUUAAUUCAGGGAUGCUGACAGUUGCUCUUUGAAGACCUCACCUUUUUGUCAUGGUUAUUAAUAAGCAAUGCCUUUAAUGCUCAGUAUAGCUACGCGUGUGCUCCAUGCAAAGGUCUGAACAACCAACCCAAGAUCAUGGCAGCAGAUGGAACUCAGACAAGACAAGUGAUAUUGUGGCCCUUUGCUCUGAGACACUUCCUAUAUGACAGGAGAGUGAUGCAACAGUCACAUC